CAGCAGCCACGGUAAUACGUAGGGUGCGAGCGUUAAUCGGAAUUACUGGGCGUAAAGCGUGCGCAGGCGGUUAUAUAAGACAGAUGUGAAAUCCCCGGGCUCAACCUGGGACCUGCAUUUGUGACUGUAUAGCUAGAGUACGGUAGAGGGGGAUGGAAUUCCGCGUGUAGCAGUGAAAUGCGUAGAUAUGCGGAGGAACACCGAUGGCGAAGGCAAUCCCCUGGACCUGUACUGACGCUGAGGCGCGAAAGCGUGGGGAGCAAACAGGAUUAGAUACCCGCGUAGUCCCUGUCUCUUAUAC
rnacentral:rRNA from 1 species